rnacentral:rRNA from 1 species
GUAGGGAAUAUUGCGCAAUGGACGAAAGUCUGACGCAGCGACGCCGCGUGAGUGAUGAAGGCCUUAGGGUCGUAAAGCUCUGUUGAAUGGGAAGAAAAAAAUGACGGUACCAUUCGAGGAAGGACCGGCUAACUUCGUGCCAGCAGCCGCGGUAAUACGAGGGGUCCUAGCGUUGUUCGGAAUCAUUGGGCGUAAAGGGUGUGUAGGUGGCCAUGUAAGUCAGGUGUGAAAGCCCCGGGCUCAACCCGGGAAGUGCACUUGAUACUGCGUGGCUUGAGUACCGAAGAGGGUAGUGGAAUUCCAGGUGUAGUGGUGAAAUACGUAGAUAUCUGGAGGAACACCGGUGGCGAAGGCGGCUACCUGGUCGAGUACUAACACUGAGACACGAAAGCAUGGGGAUCAAACAGGAUUAGAUACCCGUGUAGUCC